GAAAAGCUUGCUUUUGCUGACGACCGGCGCACGGGUGCGUAACGCGUAUGCAACCUACCUCAUACUGGAGGAUAGCCCCUGGAAACGGGGAUUAAUACUCCAUAGUAUCACAAUUUCGCAUGUUAUUGUGAUUAAAGUUUUUCGGUAUGAGAUGGGCAUGCGUCCCAUUAGCUUGUUGGUGAGGUAACGGCUCACCAAGGCAACGAUGGGUAGGGGGCCUGAGAGGGUGGUCCCCCACACUGGUACUGAGACACGGACCAGACUCCUACGGGAGGCAGCAGUGAGGAAUAUUGGUCAAUGGAGGAAACUCUGAACCAGCCAUGCCGCGUGAAGGAUGACGGCCCUAUGGGUUGUAAACUUCUUUUAUAGAGGAAGAAACUUGUCUACGUGUAGACAACUGACGGUACUCUACGAAUAAGGAUCGGCUAACUCCGUGCCAGCAGCCGCGGUAAUACGGAGGAUCCAAGCGUUAUCCGGAUUCAUUGGGUUUAAAGGGUCCGUAGGCGGAUUUUUAAGUCAGUGGUGAAAGCCGACAGCUCAACUGUCGAACUGCCAUUGAUACUGGAAAUCUUGAGUACAAAUGAAGUAGGCGGAAUGAGUCAUGUAGCGGUGAAAUGCAUAGAUAUGACUCAGAACACCGAUUGCGAAGGCAGCUUACUAACAUGUAACUGACGCUGAGGGACGAAAGCGUGGGGAGCGAACAGGAUUAGAUACCCUGGUAGUCCACGCCGUAAACGAUCAUCACUCGCUGUUGGCGAUAUACUGUCAGCGGCCAAGCGAAAGUAUUAAGUGAUGCACCUGGGGAGUACGCCGGCAACGGUGAAACUCAAAGGAAUUGACGGGGGCCCGCACAAGCGGUGGAGCAUGUGGUUUAAUUCGAUGAUACGCGAGGAACCUUACCAGGGCUUAAAUGUAGUUUGACCGGCUUGGAAACAGGCCUUCUCUUCGGAGCAGAUUACAAGGUGCUGCAUGGUUGUCGUCAGCUCGUGCCGUGAGGUGUUAGGUUAAGUCCUGCAACGAGCGCAACCCCUAUUCUUAGUUGCCAGCGGUUCGGCCGGG
rnacentral:rRNA from 1 species